rnacentral:lncRNA from 1 species
UUGGUUCACAUAAGAUAAGAAAUUGAAUCCUUACAAAACAGUUCAACUAAUGAAUAGUCCAGAGCCUCUCAAACUAUUAUCAGUGUCUACUUUAAAAGAUAUAAAAUAACAGUUGUAGUUUCUUCUAAAGUUCUAAUCCAAGGUAACUUAAAAACAGUUUUGAAAAACAUUUAGACCAUCAUGUAUUCUGUAAUACAGUUGGGUCACUGCCGAUUCCCAUGAUAAAUGUGUUUAAACAGAAGCUUUCUCAUUCAUCACUAACCUCAGCUUUCAUCCAAAUUUAUUUAAUGAU